GAAGGCGGCUCGCGACUGGCUGAGGGACUUGGCGAAGCGUUAGGGGUAGGGUCUGGGCAGGGGGUGGGGUCUGGUGGAAGGAAAGGGGCAGUCCCCUGAGGAGCCGGGCUUGUUGAAACGUGAGGGGCGGGAUCUGACGGAGUGGAAGAACCGCAUCAGCGACGAAGUCUCCUCAACUAUGACUUCCACUGGUCAGGAUUCCAUCACAACCAGACAGCGAAGGAAUAGGAAUAACAACCCCCAGUCGCCCCCUCAUGUCUCCAGUGUCACCUCGAAGCGAAGCAUUAAAAAGGGUGCCGUGCCCCGCUCCAGCCCCAAUCUAGCAGAGGUAAAGAAGAAAGGCAAAAUGAAGAAACUCGGCCAAACAACUGAAGAAAACCUCAUCGUGGCGCUGCAAGGGAUGGAUCUGAACCUUGAGGCCAAGGCAUUGGCUGGCACUGGCUUGGUGCUGGAUGAGCAGCUAAAUGGAUUCCACUGUCUCUGGGAUGACAGCUUCCCUGAAGGCCCUGAGCGGCUCCAUGCCAUCAAGGAGCAGCUGAUCCAGGAGGGCCUCUUGGAUCGCUGUGUGUCCUUUCAGGCCCGGUUUGCCGAAAAGGAGGAGCUGAUGUUGGUUCAUAGCCUAGAAUACAUUGAUCUGAUGGAGACGACGCAGUACAUGAAUGAGGGGGAACUCCACAACCUUGCAGACACCUAUGACUCAGUUUAUCUGCAUCCGAACUCAUAUACCUGUGCCUGCCUGGCCUCAGGCUCUGUUCUCAGACUGGUGGAUGCGGUCCUGGGGGCUGAGAUCCGGAAUGGCAUGGCCAUCAUUAGGCCUCCUGGACAUCAUGCCCAGCACAGUUUGAUGGACGGUUAUUGCAUGUUCAACCACGUGGCUGUGGCUGCCCGCUAUGCUCAACAGAAGCACAGCAUCCAGAGGGUUCUUAUCGUGGAUUGGGAUGUACACCACGGUCAAGGAACACAGUUCACCUUUGACCAGGACCCCAGUGUCCUCUAUUUCUCCAUCCACCGCUAUGAGCAGGGUCGGUUCUGGCCCCACCUUCAGGCCUCUAACUGGUCCACCACAGGUUUUGGCCAAGGCCAAGGAUAUACCAUUAAUGUGCCUUGGAACCAGGUGGGGAUGCGGGAUGCCGACUACAUUGCCGCUUUCCUGCACAUCCUGCUGCCAGUCGCUCUUGAGUUCCAGCCUCAGCUGGUCCUGGUGGCUGCUGGAUUUGAUGCCCUCCAAGGAGACCCCAAGGGUGAGAUGGCUGCCACUCCGGCGGGAUUCGCCCAACUAACCCACCUGCUCAUGGGUUUGGCGGGAGGCAAGCUGAUCCUGUCUCUGGAGGGUGGCUACAAUCUCCGCUCCCUGGCUGAGGGUGUCAGUGCCUCGCUCCAUACUCUUCUGGGAGACCCCUGUCCGAUGCUGGAGUCCCCUGGUGCCCCCUGCCUGAGUGCCCAGGCUUCACUCUCCUGUACUCUGGAAGCCCUCGAGCCCUUCUGGGAGGUCCUUGUGAGACCAGCUGAAACUCUAGAGGAAGACAACAUGGAAGAGGACAACACAGAGGAAAACGAAGAGGAAGGACCUUGGGAGCCCCCUGUACUCCCAAUCCUGACAUGGCCGGUGCUGCAGGCUCGCACGGGACUGGUCUAUGACCAACGGAUGAUGAGUCACUGCAACUUAUGGGACAGCCACCACCCCGAAAUGCCCCAGCGCAUCUCACGGAUCAUGUACCGUCUGGAGGAGCUGAGCCUUGCCAGGCGCUGCCUCACCCUGCCUGUGCGCCCUGCCACAGACUCCGAGCUGCUCACCUGCCACAGUGCUGAGUACUUGGGUCGCCUCCGGGCCACGGAGAAGAUGAAAACCCGGGAGCUGCACCGUGAGAGCUCCAACUUUGACUCCAUCUACAUCUGCCCCAGCACCUUUGCCUGUGCGCAGCUGGCUACUGGUGCUGUCUGCCGCCUGGUGGAGGCUGUGCUUGCAGGAGAGGUUUUGAAUGGUGUUGCUGUGGUGCGCCCCCCAGGACACCAUGCUGAGCUGGAUGCAGCUUGCGGUUUCUGCUUUUUCAACUCUGUGGCUGUGGCUGCUCGCCAUGCCCAGGCCAUUAGUGGGCGUGCCCUGCGGAUCCUAAUUGUGGACUGGGACAUCCAUCAUGGUAAUGGAACUCAGCACAUGUUUGAGGAUGACCCCAGUGUCCUAUACGUGUCCUUGCACCGCUAUGACCAUGGAACCUUCUUCCCCAUGGGGGAUGAGGGCUCUAGCAGCCAGAUGGGCCGGGCUGCGGGCACGGGCUUCACUGUCAACGUGGCCUGGAAUGGGCCCCGCAUGGGUGAUGCUGACUACCUGGCUGCCUGGCAUCGACUGGUGCUUCCUAUUGCCUAUGAGUUUAACCCAGAACUGGUGCUGGUCUCAGCUGGCUUUGAUGCUGCACGGGGGGACCCGCUGGGGGGCUGCCAGGUGUCACCUGAGGGUUAUGCCCACCUCACCCACCUGCUGAUGGGCCUUGCCAAUGGCCGCAUUAUCCUUAUCCUGGAGGGUGGCUAUAACCUGACAUCCAUCUCAGAGUCCAUGGCUGCCUGCACCCGCUCCCUUCUUGGAGACCCGCCACCCCUGCUGGCCCUGCCACGGCCCCCACUAUCAGGGGCCCUGUCCUCUAUCACUGAGACCAUUCAAGUCCAUCGCAGAUACUGGCGCAGCUUGCGGGUCAUAAAGGUAGAAGACAAGGAGGGACCCUCCAGUUCUAAGUCAGUCACCAAAAAGGCAUCCCAGCCAUUCAGUCCUGGGUCAGCUGAGAGGAUGACUGCACCAGAAAAGAAUGGUGUGGAAGCAGGCAUAGGGAAGGCCAUCUCAGCAUUAUCUGGGGAAGAGUCUACUCCAGACCAGACUAAGUCAAAGACAGCUGUGGUGGCACUCACUCAGGACCAGUCCUCAGAGCCAGCCAGUGGAGGAGCCAUGCUGGCCCAGACCACUUUGGAGGCAUCCGCGGGGGGAGCCAUGCUGGGCCAGACCACCUCGGAGGAGGCUAUGGGGGGAGCCAAUCUGGAUCAGACCACCUCAGUGGAGACUGUGGGAGGAGCCACACUGGGCCAGACCACCUCAGUCGAUGCUGUUGGGGGAGCCAUGCUGGACCAGACUACUUCAGAGGAAGCUGUAGGAGGAGCUACACUGGCCCAGACCACCUCAGAGGCAGCCAUGGAGGAAGCCACACUGGACCAGACCACCUCAGAGAAGGCUAUGGGGGGCACCGAGCUGAUCCAAACUCCUCUAGCCUCAUGCUCAGAAAAUCAGACCUCCUCAACCUCGCCUAUGCAAGGGGCCACACCCCAGAUAUCCCCCAGUAAGCUGAUUGGGACUCUCAGGAUCUUGGAACAACGCAGCAAAUCUCAGGUAAGGCCCACCACACCCAGGCCCCAGAAGAGAAGAGCCCACUAGGAGAGGCAGCUGGAGGUCAGGACAUGGAUGGUUCUAUGCGGAUACAGGGAUUUGGGGACCUUGCUGACACUGAUCAGGCCAUGUUUUAUGCUGUGACACCACUUCCCUGGUGUCCCCAUUUGGUGGCAGUAUGCCCCAUACCUGCAGCAGGCCUGGAUGUGACCCAACCUUGUGGGGACUGUGGAACACUUCAGGAGAAUUGGGUGUGUCUGUCUUGCUAUCAGGUCUACUGCGGUCGUUACAUCAAUGCCCAUAUGCUCCAACACCACCAAGACUCUGGACACCCACUGGUUCUCAGCUACGUCGACCUGUCCGCCUGGUGUUACCACUGUCAGGCCUAUGUCCACCACCAGGCUCUUCUAGAUGUGAAGAACGUCGCCCACCAGAACAAGUUUGGGGAGGCCAUGCCCCACCCACACUAAACCCCAGAAUGUGCUCCCUCUUCUCUACCUUCUGAGGCCCAAGAUAGACCAGCUGUAGUUCAUUCCAACCUGUACCUUGGAUGAGGGGUAGCCUCUCACUCCAGCCCAUCAUGAAUAUCCUUUGCAACUUCCCAAGGGUGCUUAUUUAAGUGUAAAUAUGUCUAAGAGGACUACAUGAUCAGUUGCGAAUCUCCCCCUCCCAACUGCGUGCUUGAGGAACAGCACUCCUCCACCCACCCAGAAGGAAGGGAAAGCAGCUCAGUGGCCCCAAGAGGGAGCUGAUACCACAAGGGUAAUAUUGGAGGGAGGCGGGGUCCACUGGCAGGUAUGGCAGGGUUGCAUAUGUAAUAAAGUACAAGCUGUUA